rnacentral:rRNA from 1 species
GUGACCUGCGGAAGGAUCAUUACCGAGUGAGGGCCCUCUGGGUCCAACCUCCCACCCGUGUUGCACGAACCUGUGUUGCUUCGGCGGGCCCGCCGCCAGGCCGCCGGGGGGCAUCCGCCCCCGGGCCCGCGCCCGCCGAAGCCCCCCUCUGAACGCUGUCUGAAGUUGCAGUCUGAGACAACUAGCUAAAUUAGUUAAAACUUUCAACAACGGAUCUCUUGGUUCCGGCAUCGAUGAAGAACGCAGCGAAAUGCGAUAACUAAUGUGAAUUGCAGAAUUCAGUGAAUCAUCGAGUCUUUGAACGCACAUUGCGCCCUCUGGUAUUCCGGAGGGCAUGCCUGUCCGAGCGUCAUUGCUGCCCUCAAGCACGGCUUGUGUGUUGGGCCCCGUCCCCCCCGCUCCGGGGGGGACGGGCCCGAAAGGCAGCGGCGGCACCGCGUCCGGUCCUCGAGCGUAUGGGGCUUCGUCACCCGCUCUUGUAGGCCCGGCCGGCGCCAGCCGACCCCCAACCUUUUAUUAUUUCUCAGGUUGACCUCGGAUCAGGUAGGGAUACCCGCUGAACUUAAGCAUAUCAAUAAGCGGAGGAAAAGAAACCAACCGGGAUUGCCCUAGUAACGGCGAGUGAAGCGGCAAGAGCUCAAAUUUGAAAGCUGGCUCCUUCGGGGUCCGCAUUGUAAUUUGCAGAGGAUGCUUCGGAAUCGGCCCCCAUCUAAGUGCCCUGGAACGGGCCGUCAUAGAGGGUGAGAAUCCCGUCUGGG